GGCCGUGUGGUCUAGUCGUAUGAUACUCGCUUUGGGUGCGAGUGGUCCCGGGUUCAAUUCCCGGCCCGGCCC
rfam:Tortispora caseinolytica NRRL Y-17796 unplaced genomic scaffold CANCAscaffold_3, whole genome shotgun sequence.